UACGGAGGGGGCUAGCGUUGUUCGGAAUUACUGGGCGUAAAGCGCACGUAGGCGGCUUUGUAAGUUAGAGGUGAAAGCUCGGGGCUCAACCCCGGAAUUGCCUUUAAGACUGCAUCGCUAGAAUUGUGGAGAGGUAAGUGGAAUUCCGAGUGUAGAGGUGAAAUUCGUAGAUAUUCGGAAGAACACCAGUGGCGAAGGCGACUUACUGGACACAUAUUGACGCUGAGGUGCGAAAGCGUGGGGAGCAAACAGG
rnacentral:rRNA from 1 species